rnacentral:rRNA from 1 species
GAAUCUUGCGCAAUGGGCGAAAGCCUGACGCAGCAACGCCGCGUGGGGGAUGAAGGCUCUCGGGUCGUAAACCCCUUUCAGCAGGGACGAAACUGACGGUACCUGCAGACGAAGCCCCGGCCAACUACGUGCCCGCAGCCGCGGUAACACGUAGGGGGCAAGCGUUGUCCGGAUUUAUUGGGCGUAAAGAGCUCGUAGGUGGUUCGGUAAGUCAGGUGUGAAACCUCCAGGCUCAACCUGGAGACGCCACUUGAUACUGCUGUGACUGGAGUCCGGUAGGGGAGCGUGGAAUUCCUGGUGUAGCGGUGAAAUGCGCAGAUAUCAGGAGGAACACCAGCGGCGAAGGCGGCGCUCUGGGCCGGUACUGACACUGAGGAGCGAAAGCGUGGGUAGCAAACAGG